GGGACUAUAGUUAAUAAUAACAUUUGAGUUGCAUUCAAAAAGUACUACCUAAAUAGUUAGCCUCA
rnacentral:tRNA from 1 species